rnacentral:rRNA from 1 species
GAUGAACGCUAGCGACAGGCUUAACACAUGCAAGUCGAGCGAAUGAAGUUCCUUCGGGAACGGAUUUAGCGGCGGACGGGUGAGUGACACGUGGGCAACCUGCCUCAUAGAGGGGAAUAGCCUUCCGAAAGGGAGAUUAAUACCGCAUAAGAUUGUAGUGCCGCAUGGUACAGCAAUUAAAGGAGCAAUCCGCUAUGAGAUGGGCCCGCGGCGCAUUAGCUAGUUGGUGAGGUAACGGCUCACCAAGGCGACGAUGCGUAGCCGACCUGAGAGGGUGAUCGGCCACAUUGGGACUGAGACACGGCCCAGACUCCUACGGGAGGCAGCAGUGGGGAAUAUUGCACAAUGGGGGAAACCCUGAUGCAGCAACGCCGCGUGAGUGAUGACGGCCUUCGGGUUGUAAAGCUCUGUCUUCAGGGACGGUAAUGACGGUACCUGAGGAGGAAGCCACGGCUAACUACGUGCCAGCAGCCGCGGUAACAC